AUACAUUUAUUAUGGUAGUUUAAUGUGUUUUUUUAAUAUGUGUGAAAAUACUAAAAAAUAUAUCUUUUAACGAGGGAGAGAGUAUUCCAGAUUAUAGGCAUGAAAACGUGAACUCGACUGCAAAAAAGGUCAACACUUUGUUUCGCUUUUAGAAAGGUUUUUUUUUCUUCUUGGCACUCCCAUCUUCGGGACAUUCUCUUUAUUCGGUUUUCUAUACUCCUC
rnacentral:lncRNA from 1 species